CACAUGCAAGUCGAGCGCGCCCUUCGGGGUGAGCGGCGGACGGGUUAGUAACGCGUGGGAACGUACCCUUUGGUAGGGAAUAGCCACUGGAAACGGUGAGUAAUACCCUAUGAGCCCUUCGGGGGAAAGAUUUAUCGCCAAAGGAUCGGCCCGCGUUAGAUUAGGUAGUUGGUGGGGUAAUGGCCUACCAAGCCUACGAUCUAUAGCUGGUUUUAGAGGAUGAUCAGCAACACUGGGACUGAGACACGGCCCAG
rnacentral:rRNA from 1 species